CUUGGAUUUGAAGAUAGUUCCGUGCUCAGAGAAUAGAACUGUCAUCUGCCCAGCUCUAUGUAGAAGAAGCUAGGUAUCGCAAUAUUCCAAGGGCGAAUAGAAUCUGUCGUUAUUGUGACCAAAACCAGGUAGAGGUUGAGUUUCAUUUUGUUUUAAUAUGUCCAUUCUAUAAAGAUAAUCGAAAGAAGUUCAUUGAAAUGUAUUACUGGAAUCGCCCAUCAUCAUAUACACUUAUCCAGCUGUUGUCUGUGUAAUGAAAAUAGAUAACACAUACCGAUCAGGCAUCGUUGUGUAUUGUUUACAUGUGUUCAUCCGGGUCCUGAACUAUUCUCGUGCAUUCUCCCGCACGCUUGAUUAUGUAAUCCUACCCUUGCAUGUAAAACACUUGAAUGACUCAGAUGGUCUAUAUCGGAGGGUAUAAAAACCGGCUCUGACAGAACACUAAGACUCUGAUCUCGGCAUCCAAACUGCACAGACAGAAGCGGAGAGACCCUAAGAAAGAGAAUGGUAAACACAAAGACGACCCCAAUGAAGGCAUGUCCUAUGUGCAAGUUCAGAACCGCUGGAACAGAAGAGCUCAGGGAGCAUCUUGUGAUGUGUGGUCUGAAACACUCUGAAAAGAAUGCAUUUGCCUGUACGCAUUGUAACUUCACGACUACAAAGCAAGUAUACCUUACUCGUCAUGAGAAAAGACAUAUCGAAGAGAAGGGUAUGGACAAAAACAGCCAACCUGAGACCGUCCAUGUGUCUAAUCUACCAGAGGAUAAGCAGACCGCAGGAUCCAGUGACAGCUCAAGCAGCUCCAGUAGUGAUAGUGACGAUGGGUCGGAUGAUGAUUCCUAUCCUUCGCCUAAGGAAACAGAAGAUUGGCAAAAGCAGGACCCUGGGAGCUUACUGUCCGAGGAGUCGGAGAAAGAAACUACUGAGCCAGUUGUCCCAUCUGACAACAGACCUUCAACCUCAGCUACAGCAGUGGCCACAAAUCCUGUACCCCCGGAUGAUUCUUUGAUGGGUCGGGUGAUCAGGAAAUCAACAAAACCUACACUGCCAUUUCAUAAGAAGAGAAUAGCAGAACAAAGUGGUGAACCAGGCAAAAGGCUACGUGCCACAGAUCUGCGACAUGUCAUCCCGAAACCAGUAACUCUGGAUCAUCCCACGAAGCGACAUACGAGUACGGUUAGUCGACGUUUUGUUAGUGUUGGAGUCCAGACGGAGCCCGCCAUGAACAAAACUAAGCGGACAGUCACGACCACUUGUCGAUAUCAUGAGGCAGGCAAGCAAGUGAAACAAACCACGGUAGAUGAAACCUACUUUUAUUUGGAUACCUUCACUGGAAAUAGAGAAUAGGCUAGAUGCCCACAACAUUUGGACGGACCUCACUUAAACGAAGUGUCCAUACACUAGUGUUUCAACACUGCUGGAUUAAUAAAGAAAGUUUAUUUGUUUUGUAAAUAAUUGUUUUCCUUUGGUUCUUAUGAUUUCGUUCUAACAUAAUUAAGAAGCAUGGAAGCUUCAACCUCGAAGGCGUGGGUAGUGUAAUGAAAAUAGAUAACACAUACCGAUCAGGCAUCGUUGUGUAUUGUUUACAUGUGUUCAUCCGGGUCCUGAACUAUUCUCGUGCAUUCUCCCGCACGCUUGAUUAUGUAAUCCUACCCUUGCAUGUAAAACACUUGAAUGACUCAGAUGGUCUAUAUCGGAGGGUAUAAAAACCGGCUCUGACAGAACACUAAGACUCUGAUCUCGGCAUCCAAACUGUACAGACAGAAGCGGAGAGACCCUAAGAAAGAGAAUGGUAAACACAAAGACGACCCCAAUGAAGGCAUGUCCUAUGUGCAAGUUCAGAACCGCUGGAACAGAAGAGCUCAGGGAGCAUCUUGUGAUGUGUGGUCUGAAACACUCUGAAAAGAAUGCAUUUGCCUGUACGCAUUGUAACUUCACGACUACAAAGCAAGUAUACCUUACUCGUCAUGAGAAAAGACAUAUCGAAGAGAAGGGUAUGGACAAAAACAGCCAACCUGAGACCGUCCAUGUGUCUAAUCUACCAGAGGAUAAGCAGACCGCAGGAUCCAGUGACAGCUCAAGCAGCUCCAGUAGUGAUAGUGACGAUGGGUCGGAUGAUGAUUCCUAUCCUUCGCCUAAGGAA